rnacentral:misc_RNA from 1 species
GUAGCUCCUCUCAACUCCCAACUCCAUUGGCUUUAAUCAAUCACUCUUCAGAGUAAAUCACAAGGCAGGUAAUUCUCACCGUUGUUCAUGGAGAAAAGACACUUCCGUGAAAUCCCAUAUUCUUUUUCGUCUCUUCUUUUUCUCCUCCACUUCUUAUCGCUUCAACUUCCCUCUUCAGCUUACACUCGCCCCGAAGAGUAUUUCAUCAGCUGUGGUUCAGACACCAAUAUAUCCUCCGCCGGCCGGACCUUCACCGGUGACUCAUCUUCUGGAAAUUCUCUUUCCUUCACCUUCAAAGGGCAGAGCAGCACUGUUAAAGAUAGCAACAGAUCAACAAAAACACCAUCUCUGUAUCAAACAGCUAGACUUUUCAGGGAAAAUUCAUUUUAUGAGUUCGAAAUCAGUACCUCUGGUACUUAUCUGCUACGCCUACACUUCUUUGCUUUCUCAUCC